rnacentral:rRNA from 1 species
AUUGAACGCUGGCGGCAGGCCUAACACAUGCAAGUCGAGCGGAUGAAGGGAGCUUGCUCCUGGAUUCAGCGGCGGACGGGUGAGUAAUGCCUAGGAAUCUGCCUGGUCGUGGGGGAUAACGUCCGUAAACGGGCGCUAAUAUCGCAUACGACCUGAGGUAGAAAGUGGGGGAUCUUCGGACCUCACGCUACCAGAUGAGCCUAGGCCGGAUUAGCUAGUUGGUGGGGUAAAGGCCUACCAAGGCGACGAUCCGUAACUGAUCUGAGAGGAUGAUCAGUCACACUGGAACUGAGACACGGUCCAGACUCCUACGGGAGGCAGCAGUGGGGAAUAUUGGGCAAUGGGCGAAAGCCUGAUCCAGCCAUGCCGCGUGUGUGAAGAAGGUCUUCGGAUUGUAAAGCACUUUAAGUUGGGAAGAAGAGCAGUAAGUUAAUACCUGGCUGUUUUGACGUUACCAACAGAAUAAGCACCGGCUAACUUCGUG